CGCAAUCAUUAAAAAAAAAGUGCCCAAUGUUUCCCUCGUUUUUUAAUCGUUUUCCUCUCUUUUUCCCCCAAACCCCUUUCUCAUUUUCACUUUUUUCAUUUCCAGAAACCCACUCUCAGUGAAUCACUUAAUCAAAAAUAGCCGAACAAAACUUAAUCUCUUCCAUUUCUUCUUCAUUUCCUCCGAUUUCAAGCUCUCUGCUUUUCUUCAGUGCCUCAUCUUUCUUCAGCGCCUCCUCUGUUGCAAAAUAAAAGAGAUAUGAAAGAAAACUUCAGAUCUAUCAAUCAAUUGGAUGUUCUGGGCAUUUCAGUUCAGGAUAAGUUUGUGAAGGUCAUUUAAUUGUUCGUUCGUGGUCUGGAAAAAAUUGAACUAGCAUUGACCCAAAGCACUGUGGAUGAGUCUGAAAUUUCGCCAAAUGAUGCUGUUGGUAAGGUGUUGGGAAAAGAGCACUCUGCAAGGGUAAGGUGCUUAGGAUUAGGAGUUGUUCCUAGCAGAGCUUUUAGACAAACAAAACCUCGCUAUAGUGAUUUGAAUGCUUCAAGUUAUAAUAAUGGUUCAUGUUCUUCCCAAUGCCAAGAGAAGUACAAUCAAAUGUUGAACGCUCACAAUCAAAGCCAGGAGAACUACAGAGAGAAAUGAUGAAUGUUAACACUCAAAUGAUGAAUGCUAACACUCAAAUAAUGAAUGCUUUUAAGGCGUAUAUGAUAAUGAAAGAAGGGAAGAUACCUGAAGAAUUUGCAGGGAUAUUUGUUUCUCCUCCUCAUUCAAUGCCAAGUGAUGCGGCUAGCGGAUCCAUUUUACCCACGGAUAUAAGAAGAUCAUUCGGUGAAAGUAAUCCUAACGACAACCAUUGAAGUUGCUUGCAAAUGUAUUAGAUAAUUAAGUAUCGUACUCGAUUGAAUGAUCAUAGUAGAUCUUUUGUCCAUAAUGGUUGGAGUGGAUGUUAUGUUUAAUGUUAGUUUUAAGACUUAUAAUAUUGAUGUUUUGUGUUUAAUGGUUGGAGUUGUUAUGUUUAAAGCAAAUUUUUGAGACUAAUGUAUUGUGGUUUAUUAAUAUAUUGAUGUUACUUGAUUC